UGGGGAAUAUUGCGCAAUGGGCGAAAGCCUGACGCAGCAACGCCGCGUGGGGGAUGAAGGUUCUCGGAUUGUAAACCCCUUUCGAUCGGAACGAAUCUCCUCUUGGUAAAUAAUCAGGAGGAUCGACGGUACCGGGAGAAGAAGCCACGGCUAACUCUGUGCCAGCAGCCGCGGUAAGACAGAGGUGGCGAGCGUUGUUCGGAUUUAUUGGGCGUAAAGCGAACGCAGGUGGUUUGGUAAGUCAGAGGUGAAAGAUCACAGCUUAACUGUGGCACUGCCUUUGAUACUGCCUUUCUAGAGUGCAUGAGGGGGAAGCGGAAUUCCGAGUGUAGAGGUGAAAUUCGUAGAUAUUCGGAGGAACACCGGUGGCGAAGGCGGCUUCCUGGCAUGUAACUGACACUCAUGUUCGAAAGCGUGGGUAGCAAACAGGAUUAGAUACCCUGGUAGUCCACGCCCUAAACGAUGGGCACUAGGUGUGGGAGGUAUCGACCCCUUCCGUGCCGCAGCUAACGCAUUAAGUGCCCCGCCUGGGGAGUACGGCCGCAAGGUUG
rnacentral:rRNA from 1 species